rnacentral:rRNA from 1 species
UACGAAGGGGGCUAGCGUUGUUCGGAAUUAUUGGGCGUAAAGAGCUCGUAGGUGGCGUGUCGCGUCUGCCGUGAAAGCCCAUGGCUUAACUGUGGGUCUGCGGUGGAUACGGGCAGGCUAGAGGCUGGUAGGGGCAAGCGGAAUUCCUGGUGUAGCGGUGAAAUGCGCAGAUAUCAGGAGGAACACCGGUGGCGAAGGCGGCUUGCUGGGCCAGUUCUGACGCUGAGGAGCGAAAGCGUGGGGAGCGAACAGG